GAUGAAGAACGCAGCGAAAUGCGAUACUUGGUGUGAAUUGCAGAAUCCCGUGAACCAUCGAGUCUUUGAACGCAAGUUGCGCCUCAAGCCAUUAGGUUGAGGGCACGUCUGCCUGGGCGUCACAUAUCGUUGCCUGAUGCCAGUUUCCUCGUGAUGGGUGACUGUGCAGGGCGAAUGAUGGCUUCCCGUGAGCAUUGUUGCCUCAUGGUUGGUUGAAAAUUGAGUCCUUGGUAGGGAGCGCCGUGAUAGAUGGUGGUUGAGUGACGAACGAGACCCAAUCAUGUGCAUGCUCCCCAAAAUAUGGCCUCUGUGACCCACACGCGUCUUUUGACGCUCAUGACGAGACCUCAGGUCAGGCGGGGCUACCCGCUGAAUUUAAGCAUAUCAAUAAGCGGAGGA
rnacentral:misc_RNA from 1 species